ACCUGGCUGGCUCAGUCGGUAGAGCAUGCAACUCCAGAUCUUGGGGACGUGAGUUCGAGCCCCACGUUGGGUG
rnacentral:tRNA from 1 species